AAUGAGUAUAUUACCUACAUAAUAAGCAGCUAAGAUUCCAUUAGUAUAUUUUAUCUCAUCUUAAAAGAAUGGUCACAAUCCUUAGACUAAUAAUGUCUUUGUA